CAGCAGAGACACCCGACAGCCAGAGUCGGCGGCACCAUGGCAGCCUCAGCCCCUGUUGUGCUGGGUACCAGCCAAGGUGGCAGGGCCAGAGGGGUCACCUCUGCCCCCCUGGACACAGUCACCAGCCUGGCACUUCUCCUCUCCCUCCUCUUGCUUCUCCCUGGCUCCUUCCAGGAUCCUCAGGGAGCUGGGGGACACACAGCCUCCCGGCUGCCCCGCAUGACGCCGUUCUGGAGGAUGGUGGGCAGCAGACCCCUGGGUGCCCACUGCCGGCAUGGCCUCGAGUGCAUCACCAGGGCCUGCAGGGCCGAGCGCUGUGCCCCACCACCGUUCGAGUGCUGACAGCCACCAGCAGCUCCAGGAAAGCCCACCCUGCACUGGGACCACUGGAGAGCAGAGUGUGCCAUACCCUCACCACCAGGACAGGACCGCUCUGCAGCCAUGUGCCCUGUGGGGCUGGGCUGGGGAAGGGCUGCAGCCCCAAGCCCCCUGGGGCAACGCCGUGGGUGGCUCAGCCACUCUGGAUGUUUUACAGGCAAUAAAGCACCUGU